GACGAGCCACACGAACGUUAUUCGGAAUUACUGGGCUUAAAGGGUGCGUAGGCUGCGCGGAAAGUUGGGUGUGAAAUCCCUCGGCUCGACCGAGGAACUGCGCCCAAAACUGCCGUGCUCGAGGAAGAUAGAGGUAAGCGGAACUUACGGUGGAGCGGUGAAAUGCGCAGAUAUCGGGAGGAACACCAAUGGCGAAGGCAGCUCGCUGGGACGUGACUGACGCUGAGACGCGAAAGCGUGGGGAGCAAACAGG
rnacentral:rRNA from 1 species